AAAGUUUGCUAUGAGGAUAACAAGCUCCCUCUUCUGAGUAUGGUUGAGGAAAAUUGUUGGCAGAAUCGAACCAAUAUACAAUCGCCACCACUGAGUCA